AUGACACUUGCUUCUGCAUACAAAGUCUCUGUAAGUGAACUGCUGGCCCUAGACCCCGAAGGCGAUGAACAUCAAACCAAAGCUUUUAGUCUUAGUAGAAAGAGUGCAGCAUAUUCCUUGUUGCUUGCAGGUGCCACCCAGCAUUUAUUAGAAUCCGAGUCUUCUCUCAUUGUGCCUGUAUCAAAUUUUUGGAUGACUGCUGGUGAGACUCUACUAAGUCUUGUCAGAAGCUCCACUUGGAACUUACUUUCAAU
rnacentral:misc_RNA from 1 species